UGGAUGUGUUAUGCGCUAUAUACUCCAGUAUUUGUUUGCUCGCUCGCUCUUGUUCAUUUUCCCACUUCCUUACAAGACACACUUGGAAGCAUCGCCCAGCGGACAUUUUAUAUACAAAAUGACACACCCACAGCCCUCUUGCAGUGAAGUUUCUGGACAAACUUCAAGUUGAAAUCAGAACUCUCAAGAGAAAAG